rnacentral:rRNA from 1 species
GAUGAACGCUGGCGGCGUGCCUAAUACAUGCAAGUCGAGCGAACCACUUCGGUGGUGAGCGGCGAACGGGUGAGUAACACGUAGGUGAUCUGCCCAUCAGACGGGGACAACGAUUGGAAACGAUCGCUAAUACCGGAUAGGACGAAAGUUUAAAGGUACUCCUGGCACCGCUGAUGGAUGAGCCUGCGGCGCAUUAGCUAGUUGGUAGGGUAACGGCCUACCAAGGCGACGAUGCGUAGCCGACCUGAGAGGGUGAACGGCCACACUGGGACUGAGACACGGCCCAGACUCCUACGGGAGGCAGCAGUAGGGAAUCUUCGGCAAUGGGCGAAAGCCUGACCGAGCAACGCCGCGUGAAUGAUGAAGGCCUUCGGGUUGUAAAAUUCUGUUAUAAGGGAAGAACGACUUUAGUAGGAAAUGGCUAGAGUGUGACGGUACCUUAUGAGAAAGCCACGGCUAACUACGUGCCAGCCGCCGCUGUAA